rnacentral:rRNA from 1 species
UACGUAGGGUGCUAGCGUUGUCCGGAUUUAUUGGGCGUAAAGGGCGCGUAGGCGGCUUUUCAAGUGACGGGUGAAAUCCCUCGGCUUAACCGAGGAACUGCCUGUCAGACUGGAAGGCUUGAGACCGGGAGAGGUGAGUGGAAUUCCCAGUGUAGCGGUGAAAUGCGUAGAUAUUGGGAGGAACACCAGUGGCGAAGGCGGCUCACUGGACCGGAACUGACGCUGAGGCGCGAAAGCGUGGGGAGCAAACAGG